rnacentral:rRNA from 1 species
CUGCGGAAGGAUCAUUAUUGAAAUAAACUUGAUAGGUUGCUGCUGGUUCUUUAAUGGACAUGUGCACGCCUGUCAUCUUUGUAUCUCCACCUGUGCACCUUUUGUAGACCUAGACAAGUUUCUUAAUGCUAGCAUUAAGGUUUUGGGAUUGACUUUUGUCUUUCCUUAUAUUUCUGGGUCUAUGUUUAUUCAUAUACCCUAAUGUAUGUAAUAGAAUGUAUUAAAUGGGCCUCUGUGCCUAUAACACUAUACAACUUUCAGCAACGGAUCUCUUGGCUCCCGCAUCGAUGAAGAACGCAGCGAAAUGCGAUAAGUAAUGUGAAUUGCAGAAUUCAGUGAAUCAUCGAAUCUUUGAACGCACCUUGCGCUCCUUGGUAUUCCGAGGAGCAUGCCUGUUUGAGUGUCAUUAAUAUAUCAACCUCUUCAGCUUUUGCUUGUUGAGUGCUGGAUGUGGGGGUCUUUUUGCUGGUCUUUUAAAAGAUCAGCUCCCCUAAAAUAUAUUAGCGGAACAAUUUGCUGACCGUUCAUUGGUGUGAUAAUUAUCUAUGCUAUUGACGUGAAGCAGUUCAGCUUCUAACAGUCCAUUGACUUGGACAAUUUUAUUUAUUAAUGUGACCUCAAAUCAGGUAGGACUACCCGCUGAACUUAAGCAUAUCAAUAAGCGGAGGAAAAGAAACUAACAAGGAUUCCCCUAGUAACUGCGAGUGAAGCGGGAAAAGCUCAAAUUUAAAAUCUGUCAGUCUUUGGCUGUCCGAGUUGUAAUCUAGAGAAGUGUUAUCUGCGCUGGACCGUGUACAAGUCUCCUG